rnacentral:snRNA from 1 species
AGCUUUGCGCAGUGGCAGUAUCGUAGCCAAUGAGGUUUAUCCGAGGCGCGAUUAUUGCUAAUUGAAACACAUCAUCCUGAAACUUACUGUCUUGGGGUUCCUGGGUGACUCAGUAGGUUAAGCGUCAGACUCUUGAUUUCUGCUCAGGUCAUGAUC